AGCUCGAGAAUAAGAGGCGCAAUCGAGGUUAGCGUUACCGAUAAUCUCCGGUUUAAUUAACCGAUUUUUUGGUACCAGGUGUGAAGCGUUUCAACGGACUCGCCGAGCGAGCAGUAAUUUUUUCAAGAAUUAGGAGGCUCGAAAAUAAGAGGCGCAAUCGAGGUUAGCGUUUCCGCCGACGGGGCCCCGGUCUCUUUCGGUUCUCGAAAAGUCCCUGAUCGGCUUACUACACAGACGCCGCGCGCGACCGGGAACCGGUUUCGUGAAAGAUUGCGCGCCACGCGAGAGCUCGUCCCGUGUUUAUUUCGUUUGCCGGCGUACGAUCCUCCGAGCCUUCGUCACUUCUCCGCCAAGCGGAAUAGGGAUUCAAGAAGAAAACGCAUCCCCGAGUAUUUUUGCUCGGCGACCACGCACCGCUUCGCCCGAUGCAAUCUUCUUCCCUUGUCGUUUUGUGAACUAUCUGUACCUUAGUACAGUAAUUCUAAGAAACUAGGAAUUGGUCGUUUCGAUCCAUCUGGUAGUUCUGGUGUUAAAGACUUUCAUAAUUUCGACGAUGAAAUAAAAUUAACACGUUCACACCGGCGUGUACCACCGGUGGCUCACAGUAAGGUAUCACAUUGGACAGUGUGUACCAUUGAUGGCUUACUAGACGGUGUGUAGCAUCAAAUAUGUGGCUCGUCGAAUGGUUUGAAUUCAACCGCCAAAUGGGAAAGAGUGGAAAUUACAGCGCCGUGAACGUGUUAAAUGAGAUGUCUAUAUUCGACGCUGCAAUGAAUUUUUCGUAGUUCCAGCGUUACAAAUGAAACGACGUUCACGUUUUUCCAUUUGACCGAAUUACGGAGUGAGGAAAUAUUCAACGAUCCACCGUUUCGGUUUCGAAAGACUCUCUUUUGCUGGUAGUCUCCUUAAGGUGACUUAUUUCCAUCUACACCGGCAGCUCCACCGCACGCAGGUAUUAGAAGAGGACCGCACGUCGAAUUUCACGCGUGCUGAUGCACGGAUUUAGGCCCGUGCGUCGUCGAAAUAGCCGUGCAUCGUUGGAAGAGGGUUAAUUGCACCGUGACUCAAAGGGACCAUCAACGACGGCUCGUCCACGGUUAAAUAUAAAGCUUUGCUACCCGCAAAGGUCAUGGGUCCUCCGCGUCUACCCUCGACCAGGGACACCUCCGGUUGCCACGCGAAACGAGAGGAUCCCAUCGGUUUCGCGUCGUCGCCAAAAUCGUGCGCGGUGAAAUUCGAAUUUCACCGGGCGAAAGAAAAAUCGCUGCGUCCACCGGCUAACGGUGAAUUCCGCUCGAUAGCCGGUGCGGUGCGUUCUCGCGCGAGGGAUUUUUAAAAAGUCGGACAGCCUAGGCUCAGCACGCGAUACAGCGAGUCGCGCUCGGCUAGCGGGGAGCGGAGAAAGCGGCGGGCGAGAGAGACGCUUCCAUGCAAAAACGACUACGCGCCUGUUGCAGGACUAGAAUUAGAUCUAGAAUGGUACUUCUCAAUCACGCCUGCCCGGGGAUUCACCGGCGAACGGUACAAAGCUGCGACGAGAAUACGGUUCGUCGUGAACGUUCCA